AAGAGAAGUGAGCGACUCCAUCUAAGGCUUCUAACCCUAGAAAAAGAGGUUUGACUCCUUUUACUUCUCU
rnacentral:tRNA from 1 species